rnacentral:misc_RNA from 1 species
GAUGAAGAACGCAGCGAAAUGCGAUAAGUAGUGUGAAUUGCAGAAUUUAGUGAAUCAUCGAAUCUUUGAACGCACAUUGCGCCCUUUGGUAUUCCUUAGGGCAUGCCUGUUCGAGCGUCAUCUACACCCUCAAGCACAGCUUGGUGAUGGGCGCCUGUCCCGCCCCCCACGGGGGCGCGGACUCGCCUCAAAUGCAUUGGCGGCCGGCGACCUGGCUUCGAGCGCAGCAGAAACGCGUACUCGGGGACCGGGCGCCCGCUCCCAGAAGCCAACCCACCCAGUUUGACCUCGGAUCAGGUAGGGAUACCCGCUGAACUUAAGCAUAUCAAUAAGGGAGGA